rnacentral:rRNA from 1 species
GAUGAACGCUGGCGGCGUGCCUAAUACAUGCAAGUCGAGCGAACAGACGAGGAGCUUGCUCCUCUGACGUUAGCGGCGGACGGGUGAGUAACACGUGGAUAACCUACCUAUAAGACUGGGAUAACUUCGGGAAACCGGAGCUAAUACCGGAUAAUAUAUUGAACCGCAUGGUUCAAUAGUGAAAGACGGUUUUGCUGUCACUUAUAGAUGGAUCCGCGCCGCAUUAGCUCGUUGGUAAGGUAACGGCUUACCAAGGCAACGAUGCGUAGCCGACCUGAGAGGGUGAUCGGCCACACUGGAACUGAGACACGGUCCAGACUCCUGCGGUAGGCAGCAGUAGGGAAUCUUCCGCAAUGGGCGAAAGCCUGACGGAGCAACGCCGCGUGAGUGAUGAAGGUCUUCGGAUCGUAAAACUCUGUUAUUAGGGAAGAACAAAUGUGUAAGUAACUAUGCACGUCUUGACGGUACCUAAUCAGAAAGCCACGGCUAACUACGUG